AACUAAUUAUAGCCCAAAACACACUACAUACAACUGCCCUAAUAAUAUUAAAAUAAAACAUUCACUACAAUAAGAGUAUAGGUGAUAGAAAUUUUAUAUGACGCUAUAGAAAAAGUACCGUAAGGGAAAAAAUGAAAGAAGAUUAUAAGUAAAAAAUAGCAAAGAUUAAUCCUUGUACCUUUUGCAUAAUGAUUUAACUAGAAAAUAUUAGCAAAAAGAAUUUAAGUUAAAUACCCCGAAACUAGACGAGUUACCCAUUAACAGCUUAAAGAGCAAACUCAUCUAUGUGGCAAAAUAGUGAGAAGAUUAGUGGGUAGUGGCGACAAACCUAUCGAGCCUAGUGAUAGCUGGUUGUCCAGAGAAGAAUUUUAGUUCUAAUUUAAGCUUACCAUAAAAAAACAAAUUCAAAUGUAAGCUUAAAUAAUAAUCUAAAAGGGUACAGCCUUUUAGACAAAGGAUACAACCUCUAUUAGUGAAAAACCUAAAAACAUUUAAAUCACUCUAGUUGGCCUAAAAGCAGCCAUCAAAAAAGACAGCGUUCAAGCUCGACAAUAUAUAUAUGAAAUUAAUCUCAGUCAUAAUAAUGGUAUUCCUAAUGUAAAACUGGACGAUUCUAUUUUUAAAUAGAAGCAAUAAUGUUAAUAUGAGUAACCAAGAAGGCUCUUCUCCCUGCAUGCGUGUAUAUCAGAACGAACAACGCACUGGUAGUUAACAAAUAUAAACAUAAUUUAACUGACUAAAAUUUUAAUAUAAUUGUUAGUCCAACACAGGUAUGCAACUAGGGAAAGAUUAAAAGAAGUAAAAGGAACUCGGCAAACAUAAACCCCGCCUGUUUACCAAAAACAUCACCUCUAGCAUAAAAAGUAUUAGAGGCACUGCCUGCCCAGUGACUUUAGUUUAACGGCCGCGGUAUCCUGACCGUGCAAAGGUAGCAUAAUCACUUGUUCUCUAAAUAAGGACUUGUAUGAAUGGCUUCACGAGGGUUUCACUGUCUCUUACUUCUAAUCAGUGAAAUUGAUUUUCCCGUGAAGAAGCGGGAAUAAAAAAAUAAGACGAGAAGACCCUAUGGAGCUUUAAUUAAUCGACUCACAAAUUAUAAUAAAAUCCUACAGGAAAUAAACCUAUUUUAACUGAGCCGACAAUUUAGGUUGGGGUGACCUCGGAAUAAAAACUAACUCCCGAGAAAAUUCAAUCGAGACAAACAAGUCAAAGUUAUCAUAUUACACACUGAUCCGUCAAAGACGAUCAACGAAAUAAGUUACCCUAGGGAUAACAGCGCAAUCCUAUUUAAGAGUCCAUAUCGACAAUUAGGGUUUACGACCUCGAUGUUGGAUCAGGACAUCCAAAUGGUGCAGCCGCUAUUAAUGUGUUCGUUUGUUCAACGAUUAAAGUCCUACGUGAUCUGAGUUCAGACCGGAGUAAUCCAGGUCGGUUUCUAUCUAUUUUUAAGUCCCUCCCAGUACGAAAGGAUAAGAGAGACAGGGCCCACUUAAAAUAAGCGCCCUAACUAAUUAGAUGAAAUAAUCUCAAUCUUAUAAAAAUAAAAACUUAGCCCAAGAAUAGGGUUCA
rnacentral:rRNA from 1 species